UACGAAGGGGGCUAGCGUUGCUCGGAAUUACUGGGCGUAAAGCGCACGUAGGCGGCUCUUUAAGUCGGGGGUGAAAUCCUGGAGCUCAACUCCAGAACUGCCUUCGAUACUGAAGAUCUUGAGUUCGGGAGAGGUGAGUGGAACUGCGAGUGUAGAGGUGAAAUUCGUAGAUAUUCGCAAGAACACCAGUGGCGAAGGCGGCUCACUGGCCCGAUACUGACGCUGAGGCACGAAAGCGUGGGGAGCAAACAGG
rnacentral:rRNA from 1 species